rnacentral:rRNA from 1 species
UACGUAGGGUGCGAGCGUUGUCCGGAAUUAUUGGGCGUAAAGCGCGUGUAGGCGGCUAUGCAAGUCGGGUGUGAAAGCCCUCAGCUUAACUGAGGAAGUGCGCCCGAAACUGCAUGGCUUGAGUACCGGAGAGGAUGGCGGAAUUCCCCAAGUAGAGGUGAAAUUCGUAGAUAUGGGGAGGAACACCGGCGGCGAAGGCGGCCAUCUGGACGGAUACUGACGCUGAGACGCGAAAGCGUGGGUAGCAAACAGG